ensembl:lncRNA
CUCGUGCUACCAACUUAAACUUGCUAGUUUCCGACGUGAUUUGGCGUUGCUUCUUUUGCUACGUGUUUGUAGCAUUGACUUUGAUACAACUUUUGAGUCACAUUAACACCAUGCACAGCCGCAGCCCUGACUUCUGCGUGGUGUGUGGAAUUAGUGACUGUCCGAGUGAGUACAAAGUGUAUAACUCCUUCUACUAUCACGUAAAGCGGACACGCGCGUGUCACCUUCUCGGAGUGGAAGCGAAUGAGGAGGAAGGAUCAACUCGCUACGGUUUACCUGGAGCAGGUGAAAGGACGGCUCCAAUCAACCAAACUAACACCAGUUCUUCAGUAACUGACGAGGGCUCAAGCAUCCCUGCACUAACGAGUGGAUUUCAAGAAGAUGGAGAGGGUCACAUGAAUCUUGACAUUUAUAAACAUGCAACUGCAUUUCUUCUUCAAGCCAAGGAAACCCAUCGACUGACAUGGAGAGCUGUUAACCACAUCGUGAGUGGAGUCCAGCAAUAUCAGGCCGUAUUAUUGUAGCACCUAAAACAACAAAUGAGUGACAUGAUUGAGAGACAUUCUGGGGACCUGGGUCGACUAAAGAGUGAUGCAGUGGGGGUAUUUGACCAGUUUGUUGACCCUUUCACUCAGAUUGCUUCCACCCAUUUGCAGGACAAGACCAUCAAAGAACUGUUAAAACCAGUUGAACCAGAAAUUGUUGUCACAAAACAAACAGUAUGUUACAUGAAGUGUGGAGACUCCAGAGUUCUUGCCAUUAAGGACCAUUGUUUUCAUUAUAUACCAUUGGUGAAAAGACAUCCAAGAGUGCUUGCAAUGAUGGACAAGAGGCCAAAGCCAUGCAAGCAUGGCUUUUUUUCAUGAUUUUCAAUGUCACGUUGACACGGUCUGAUUGAUGAUAAAAUAUAAAGAAAAAUAACCACAAUGUACUUAAGAUACUAAGACUCAGUAUAAUGCAAUGUUAUUUAGCUGCAGUUCUCAAUAAAGCAGAUUUGAUGUCCU